CGGCAUUUCUGAAACCCCUCGGAAUCCUCCUUUCAUAGAUUCCGAGACAAGAAGAGAUGCCAGAGCAAAGUGUCUGAGAUUUCCAAAGAGCAGAGACUUCCCGCGCCUUCUGUUCUAUUUCACGUCUCGCACAGACU